GUGUUUGCUUUGGCAGCACAGGUACUAAAAUUGGAACCAUACAGAGAAGAUUAGCAUGGCCCCUGUGCAAAGCUGACAUGUAAGUUAUGAAACAUUUCAUAUUUAU
rnacentral:snRNA from 2 species